UGUGGUUUAAUUCGAAGCAACGCGAAGAACCUUACCAGGUCUUGACAUCCUCUGACAAUCCUAGCGAUAGGACGUCCCCUUCGGGGGCAGAGUGACAGGUGGUGCAUGGUUGUCGUCAGCUCGUGUCGUGAGAUGUUGGGUUAAGUCCCGCAACGAGCGCAACCCUUGAUCUUAGUUGCCAGCAUUCAGUUGGGCACUCUAAGGUGACUGCCGGUGACAAACCGGAGGAAGGUGGGGAUGACGUCAAAUCAUCAUGCCCCUUAUGACCUGGGCUACACACGUGCUACAAUGGAUGGAACAAAGG
rnacentral:rRNA from 1 species